CGGGGUGUGGCGCAGUUGGCUAGCGUACUAGCAUGGGGUGCUAGUGGUCGUCCGUUCGAGUCGGAUCACCCCGACCA
rnacentral:tRNA from 1 species